GCUGGGAGCCUGCUGUAGGUAAAUUGCCGAACGCCGGGGGGGCCGCCAUUCGACAAACGAACACGUGGCGGCGGCCAUCUUUAAUUCAGCUGAAGUUUUACCUUCUCCAGACUUCAAUGCAUUCGACAGUUCGAACACCAUUCGACAGUUUGACAAUUCGAAUGGUUGUCGUUCGUCUGUUUGAACUGACUUUAAGAUGGGAAAUAGACCGACCGCACAGCCUGAUUCUCUGG